rnacentral:misc_RNA from 1 species
GAAAUGCGAUAAGUAAUGUGAAUUGCAGAAUUCAGUGAAUCAUCGAAUCUUUGAACGCACAUUGCGCCCGCCAGUAUUCUGGCGGGCAUGCCUGUCCGAGCGUCAUUUCAACCAUCAAGCCCCCGGGCUUGUGUUGGGGACCUGCGGCUGCCCGCAGGCCCUGAAAACCAGUGGCGGGCUCGCUGUCACACCGAGCGUAGUAGCAAUCACCUCGCUCAGGGCGUGCUGCGGGUUCCGGCCGUUAAACAGCCUUACAAAACCCAAGGUUGACCUCGGAUCAGGUAGGGAUACCCGCUGAACUUAAGC